GAUGAACGCUGGCGGCGUGCCUAAUACAUGCAAGUCGAGCGAACAGACGAGGAGCUUGCUCCUUCGACGUUAGCGGCGGACGGGUGAGUAACACGUAGGUAACCUACCUAUAAGACUGGGAUAACUUCGGGAAACCGGAGCUAAUACCGGAUAAUAUUUUGAACCGCAUGGUUCGAUAGUGAAAGAUGGCUUUGCUAUCACUUAUAGAUGGACCUGCGCCGUAUUAGCUAGUUGGUAAGGUAACGGCUUACCAAGGCAACGAUACGUAGCCGACCUGAGAGGGUGAUCGGCCACACUGGAAGUGAGACACGGUCCAGACUCCUACGGGAGGCAGCAGUAGGGAAUCUUCCGCAAUGGGCGAAAGCCUGACGGAGCAACGCCGCGUGAGUGAUGAAGGUCUUCGGAUCGUAAAACUCUGUUAUUAGGGAAGAACAAACGUGUAAGUAACUGUGCACGUCUUGACGGUACCUAAUCAGAAAGCCACGGCUAACUACGUG
rnacentral:rRNA from 1 species